CGACGACGUUUGAACUGUCCGGCGGGAGAUCAUUUUGAGCAACGGUUCAGUCAGACCAACCGUGUUCAGCUCUCUGUCAAGUUCGCCGCUCCACCUUAAUGGUGCCGCUUCACUCAACUGGAUGGUCAGGCUGACUGCAACCGUAGGCCUACUGAAUAGAUGGCAGGGAAGCACAGCACACGGGAAUUUAUAAAUGAAGAAGAGUGAAUAAAUGCACUUGCUUUUCAAACUGAUAA